rnacentral:rRNA from 1 species
UACAGAGGUCCCAAGCGUUGUUCGGAUUCACUGGGCGUAAAGGGUGCGUAGGUGGCGGGGUAAGUCUGAUGUGAAAUCUCCGAGCUUAACUCGGAAACUGCAUCGGAUACUGCCUUGCUCGAGGGUUGGAGGGGGGACUGGAAUACUUGGUGUAGCAGUGAAAUGCGUAGAUAUCAAGUGGAACACCAGUGGCGAAGGCGAGUCCCUGGACAACUCCUGACACUGAGGCACGAAAGCUAGGGGAGCAAACAGG